rnacentral:rRNA from 1 species
UACGUAGGGGGCAAGCGUUGUCCGGAUUUACUGGGCGUAAAGAGCGUGUAGGCGGCCAUGCAGGUCCGUUGUGAAAACUGGAGGCUUAACCUCCAGACGUCGACGGAAACCGCGUGGCUAGAGUCCGGAAGAGGAGAGUGGAAUUCCUGGUGUAGCGGUGAAAUGCGCAGAUAUCAGGAAGAACACCAAUGGCGAAGGCAGCUCUCUGGGACGGUACUGACGCUGAGGCGCGAAAGCCAGGGGAGCAAACGGG